GAUGAAGAAACGCAGCGAAAUGCGAUAAGUAGUGUGAAUUGCAGAAUUCAGUGAAUCAUCGAAUCUUUGAACGCACAUUGCGCCCCUUGGUAUCCCGAGGGGCAUGCCUGUUCGAGCGUCAUUUCACCACUCAAGCCUGGCUUGGUGUUGGGCGACGUCCUCUUUGGGGACGCGCCUCGAAACGCUCGGCGGCGUGGCACCGGCUUUAAGCGUAGCAGAAUCUUUCGCUUUGGAAGUCGGGGCCCCGUCUGCCGGAAGACCUGCUCGCAAGGUUGACCUCGGAUCAGGCAGGGAUACCCGCUGAACUUAAGCAUAUCAAUAAGCGGAGGA
rnacentral:misc_RNA from 1 species